rnacentral:rRNA from 1 species
GACGAACGCUGGCGGCGUGCCUAAUACAUGCAAGUCGAACGCACUCUCGUUUAGAUUGAAGGAGCUUGCUCCUGAUUGAUAAACAUUUGAGUGAGUGGCGGACGGGUGAGUAACACGUGGGUAACCUGCCCUAAAGUGGGGGAUAACAUUUGGAAACAGAUGCUAAUACCGCAUAAAACCUAACACCGCAUGGUGUAGGGUUGAAAGAUGGUUUCGGCUAUCACUUUAGGAUGGACCCGCGGUGCAUUAGUUAGUUGGUGAGGUAAAGGCUCACCAAGACCGUGAUGCAUAGCCGACCUGAGAGGGUAAUCGGCCACACUGGGACUGAGACACGGCCCAGACUCCUACGGGAGGCAGCAGUAGGGAAUCUUCCACAAUGGACGAAGUCUGAUGGAGCAACGCCGCGUGAGUGAAGAAGGUUUUCGGAUCGUAAAACUCUGUUGUUGGAGAAGAAUGUAUCUGAUAGUAACUGAUCAGGUAGUGACGGUA